GGGAAAAAAAUCUUUCCUCUUGGCCGAAGCUAACAGAGAGGGACAAAAAGAGCCUCUUCUCUCCUGGUGCACCGCCACAGCAGGAGCGACACAAAGCCGGGCAGUACCAGAGAGGGGGAGCCUAGCUGGCUUGGCUGGAGCGAAGGGACGGGGCUUGCGGGAAGACCGGGAGCCCCCCGCCGGUGCUUGCGAACCGGGCAGUCUCUGCCUGCGGGUGCGCAGCACCCGCCAGGUGAGGGGGUUAUGCUGAGGUGGUUCCUCCCCUAACAAGUUCCGCGGCGGAGCUCAGAAACUUUUCCAAAUUAAACUCUAGUCACAACUGAUGGGGUGUUCUGACGGGUUUCUAUCCCAAUAGAUGUAGGUAGACUCGCGGGAACCCCUCGACAAAGCCCAUCCCUCCUUUCCCCGCGCCGAAGCUCCCGCCGCCGGCUCGGUGGCCGGGCGCAGGUGCGCCUGUCACCGGGAGAGGCUGCAGGCGUGGGGCCGACGGGCGCAGGUGGGAGCAGCCCUGCCAGCGGUGUCCGGGCGCGACCCCUUGCGAAAGGAGGCUCCGGCAGCGCCGAGCCGUGAAGCGCCGCCGCCGCGGGAGCUCGGUGGGGACGGAAGGCUGGCGAGGCGGUGGCGGCUGGCUGCAGCCGGGCGUCCCCCGGCCGAGGCGAGGAGAGCCGGAGCAGCCCGCUGCCGGCUGCGGGGAGCCUCCAUCCCGGCGGUCGGCAGAGCCGUACCGGGAGCGGGGCGGCGGGCUGCCGGCUCUCCAAGCGACGCACGGCAUCGUGCGGAGGGGGGCGACGACAAGGGGACUCACCCGGGCUCGGCGGGACGGGGCUGGGGCCGCCGCUGCCGCCGCCUGGAGGUGGGGCGGUCAGGUUGUUCUGGCUCCCGGCGGCGUCGGGGGGCCGAGGGGACACGGCACCCGCCGCCAGGGAGAAACGUCGAGGCUGUGCCGGGGCGGACAGAGGCUGCCGGAGGAAGAUGGUGCUCCUGGGGAAACAACACCCUCCUCUCCCCCGCCUCUCCCCGGCGCGGGCGGUCUGCUCGCCUUUGAUUGCGAGGCGAGGGCAUCCUGCCCCCGCCGCUCCCCCCUCCCGGGAUGGUUACAUACAAAGGCUGCUUUCCAGGAACUUUCCAGGAACCGCAUCAUGUGACAGGACCCGCUCCGGCGCCUCCGCCGCGAUCGCGGCCAGCCGGGGCCGACGCACCGAGCCGCCGCCCCUGUCACGCCGGGGCAGCGGCCGCCGAACGCUGCCCCGCGGCCCCCCCGCCUCCUCCCCCUGCGCCCGCGGAGCCGCGGGCGACGCGCAGGCAAAAAUCCCUUUCAUGACCAAGGAAGGAGGCAACAACAUUUUUACAGCCCUGAGAAGUGCCUGUUACUAGAAAUGAUUUUCACUUUGUUCCUGAAAAGCAUGCCAAGUUUACUGGUGUUUGCUGGUGAUGUUACAAAUAGAAGCAGGCCUGGCAGGAGGGAGCAUGAGCUUUCCAGUGGAACCUGUGACAGCAGGGACCUGCUCCAG
rnacentral:lncRNA from 1 species